CAAGAUGAACGAUGGAGCGAAGAGCUUUCAAUCUGCCGGAGGGAGCAUGAAACACGUUAUCCUCAGGAUAUCCCGCGUUCAUCUUGAGUGUCAGACUUCCCGGAGUGCGACCAAAAGACAAAAAUGUGGAUAGGGAUAAGGGAACAGAAAAGGGUUGAUUCAAAAUUGGAGGCGGAGAAGGAUAGUGGUCGGACAGGUGGGAGACGAAUUUCGUGAGGAUUGUUUCAGUACGCCGCGACGGACUAAAAAGGGAGUUCCAACCGGAUGGACGGAAUUAUCUUCUUCUUCUGCCCCGAGCUCCGUAACCCCACCGAAAUGAUCAUCAUCGACAGAAUGGUCAUCGUUAGUUUGGACUUGAUUGAAAUUCACGAGGUACUCAGGUGGGCUCCGUAUGAAUGAAAAGGCCAAGAUGAUUCUGGUCUCACUUUCUUUCUUGUUCUACGUGGUUGUCCCACUGUUAUGGAACCGCAUUGGCCGACUUUUCCGCAAGCGCAAUGCCGACCCGAGAAACAAGUCACAGUGAAGUAUACUCAGGAGGCAAACUAGAACGAAUGAAGAACGUCAUUAGAAUACUAAACCAGAUGCAAGGCCAGAAGCCACUGGAAAUGUAACAGAGAAAUGUGCUCUCACGUGGUUCACACAUAAAAAUGGGCUCUUCAAUACAA